rnacentral:rRNA from 1 species
AUUGAACGCUAGCGGGAUGCCUUACACAUGCAAGUCGAACGGAGUGGCGAACGGGUGCGUAAUGUUUCGGAACGUGCCCCGUAGCGGUGGAUAACUACCCGAAAGCGUAGCUAAUACCGCAUACUAUUCGAGCAGCCGUUAUCGGUUGAGCUAGUUGGUGGGGUAACGGCUAACAAGGGCAACGAUCCUUAGCUGGUUUGAGAGGAUGACUAGCAAAAUGGGGACUGAGAAACGGCCCAGACUCCUACGGGAGGCAGAAGGGGGAAAUUUUGGACAAUGGGGGAAACCCUGAGCAAGCCAUCCCGCGGGUGGGAUGAAGGCCUUCGGGUUGUAAAGCACUUUUGGCAGGAAAGCGGUACCGGCAGAAUAAGCACCGGCUAACUACGUGCCAGCAGCCGCGGUAAUUC